rnacentral:rRNA from 1 species
AUACGGAGGGUGCGAGCGUUGUUCGGAAUUAUUGGGCGUAAAGAGCAUGUAGGCGGUCUGUUAAGUCUGGUGUGAAAGCCCGGGGCUCAACCCCGGAAGUGCAUUGGAUACUGGCAGGCUUGAGUAUGGGAGAGGAAAGCGGAAUUCCGAGUGUAGGAGUGAAAUCCGUAGAUAUUCGGAGGAACACCAGUGGCGAAGGCGGCUUUCUGGACCAAUACUGACGCUGAGAUGCGAAAGCGUGGGGAGCAAACAGGAUUAGAAACCCGAGUAGUCC